UGUUACAUUGUGUACACUGUUCGAAGCUUUCGGUAUAAAUACGACUAAUCUACUCGACUGUGCUGUCUACUUUAUAUGCAGACAUUACUUACAAGUACAACAACAUGCGGAAGGUCCUGCUUCUCACAAUGGCAUUUCUUGUCGCCGUUCAAGAUACAGAGGGAUUGCUGUUUGGUAUGUAUGAGACUUGCCAAUUAAUUGCAUUAAAGGAACUAAGGACACCAUUGUCAUCAUCAUCACCAUCACCAUCAUCAUCAUCAUCAUCAUCAUGGAUCGCAUCUUUACGGAAGAUCUUUGGACGAGGGUGAAAGAAAGAACACGUUGACGGGCGAUGACAUAAAGAAGAAAUAGACGCAGUGACACAAUAAGGAUUUCAUGUUAUUGUAUAAUUAAAGGAGGCGUGAAAACCACCGCUUGUCUGUAUUGGCGAUGUCCUAAUUGUAACCAAAUAAACAUAUUUUGAAGCAACAGAA